GAUGAACGCUGGCGGCGUGCCUAAUACAUGCAAGUCGAGCGAACGGACGAGAAGCUUGCUUCUCUGAUGUUAGCGGCGGACGGGUGAGUAACACGUGGAUAACCUACCUAUAAGACUGGGAUAACUUCGGGAAACCGGAGCUAAUACCGGAUAAUAUUUUGAACCGCAUGGUUCAAAAGUGAAAGACGGUCUUGCUGUCACUUAUAGAUGGAUCCGCGCUGCAUUAGCUAGUUGGUAAGGUAACGGCUUACCAAGGCAACGAUGCAUAGCCGACCUGAGAGGGUGAUCGGCCACACUGGAACUGAGACACGGUCCAGACUCCUACGGGAGGCAGCAGUAGGGAAUCUUCCGCAAUGGGCGAAAGCCUGACGGAGCAACGCCGCGUGAGUGAUGAAGGUCUUCGGAUCGUAAAACUCUGUUAUUAGGGAAGAACAUAUGUGUAAGUAACUGUGCACAUCUUGACGGUACCUAAUCAGAAAGCCACGGCUAACUACGUGCCAGCAGCCGCGGUAAUACGUAGGUGGCAAGCGUUAUCCGGAAUUAUUGGGCGUAAAGCGCGCGUAGGCGGUUUUUUAAGUCUGAUGUGAAAGCCCACGGCUCAACCGUGGAGGGUCAUUGGAAACUGGAAAACUUGAGUGCAGAAGAGGAAAGUGGAAUUCCAUGUGUAGCGGUGAGAUGCGCAGAGAUAUGGAGGAACACCAGUGGCGAAGGCGACUUUCUGGUCUGUAACUGACGCUGAUGUGCGAAAGCGUGGGGAUCAAACAGGAUUAGAUACCCUGGUAGUCCACGCCGUAAACGAUGAGUGCUAAGUGUUAGGGGGUUUCCGCCCCUUAGUGCUGCAGCUAACGCAUUAAGCACUCCGCCUGGGGAGUACGACCGCAAGGUUGAAACUCAAAGGAAUUGACGGGGACCCGCACAAGCGGUGGAGCAUGUGGUUUAAUUCGAAGCAACGCGAAGAACCUUACCAAAUCUUGACAUCCUUUGACAACUCUAGAGAUAGAGCUUUCCCCUUCGGGGGACAAAGUGACAGGUGGUGCAUGGUUGUCGUCAGCUCGUGUCGUGAGAUGUUGGGUUAAGUCCCGCAACGAGCGCAACCCUUAAGCUUAGUUGCCAUCAUUAAGUUGGGCACUCUAAGUUGACUGCCGGUGACAAACCGGAGGAAGGUGGGGAUGACGUCAAAUCAUCAUGCCCCUUAUGAUUUGGGCUACACACGUGCUACAAUGGACAAUACAAAGGGCAGCGAAACCGCGAGGUCAAGCAAAUCCCAUAAAGUUGUUCUCAGUUCGGAUUGUAGUCUGCAACUCGACUACAUGAAGCUGGAAUCGCUAGUAAUCGUAGAUCAGCAUGCUACGGUGAAUACGUUCCCGGGUCU
rnacentral:rRNA from 1 species